AGUCCUCAAAUCGUGGUUUAAAGACUUCAAGUAGCAGAGAAUCCUCCAGCAAGUGAGCUGUGCCCCAUGCUACAGAGGAAGGCAAAAAACCGCCAGGGCCUCUUCCAAUCUGCCCUGGAGGAAAAGACUUAUCAGGAUGGGGAAAUAAGAUUUGUGCAUGGAAGUUUGGGCACUGAUAUGAAUACUCAGGAUAGUGCCAUGACCCUAUAAGAGGGCGAACCACCAUGUGGAGAGGAUUCUUUUUCCUUUACCCUUAAGGCCUCUCUUGUUUUGGCGAUCAGCUCAGCUUUUGCAAUACAGUUUAACGACUAAACACCCGAUCCUGAUAGCCACCAUCUCAGGAGUGGAGGAACCUGGACCAUCGAAUGCAUUGAGCAUGCCAGAGACCAGGCUGAUCCUUCGUCUCCCACUACCAGGUCCCCAAGGAAGGGCGUAAAGGGUCAAGGCCUGUCAAACGUCAAGGAAGAGGAGUCUUCUUUCUCCUGCGGAAGUGUGAGGUUUUGGGAAGAACACAGGGAAGCAGAUCUCGCUCCUUCCUGAUCAUUGAUGUAGAAGAGACAGUUGUAACGUUGUCUGACAUUAUAAGGACCCUGGUGAGAAAGGCCUCGCAUGUCUUCUGGACUGCUAGCAACUCCAGGAUAUCGAUGUGCAUCCUGGACUCUCAAGACAUCCAGGCCGAAGCUGAAGCUAUGGACCGUGUAGGUUCCGACCUGGACCUUGUGGUGGUGAGAAGGAACUGGAGACACAGUCAGUCUGCCCUACACUUUUCGUCUCCUCAUACAGAGGCAUGAGCAGCAGAGAUGUGCCAGAAACCACCUGCCUAAAAGGAGUGCUGCCGAGAUCCAAUCCUGCUUAGCUGGAAGAUCCAAGAGCAGCCAAGCGCAAGGACCUGACUUUGGGCACCCUGCUUGACUGAUGUGUUGGGAGGUAGAUUUGGACACUGGAUGGACUUCCUGCCUUGCUGAACUUUGACUCCCUGCCUAACCCGGUCCUCCCAGAACCGUUCCUAGGCUAGCAAGUUUCUCACUGGCAACAGGGCCAAGCUUUUCCUGAGCUGAAGAGAGACGUAUGGUAGAAGUUGUACUAGGACAUCUAUUUUGAGUCGCCUAAGCUGGAAGUGCCUGUCACAGUACUGCACUUCCCAAUCCAGGCAAAUAAUGUUACAGGCCACAGUAUGGGAAGACAUUGGCUAUGCCAAGACUCUCCCAUCCACAAGGAAUUUUGCAGAAGGUUGAAACAAAGGAAUCGCUUUUCUAGAAGCCCACUCUGUGUUGUGGCCAUGUUUAGGAGCUCUGGUCAUGGACCAGGACCCAGUGUGCUAGGAGCUGUACAAACCUGGCAGCAGCACAGAUCACAGAAUGCUAUAUGUGCAUCCAGAGCACAGUGCAAUGCAAAACCCGCCAUUAGCUUCCCUGUCCACACAGUCACUGGCCACUAUGCCCACUGUACUAAUGGCAAAUCUCUCAUUCCCGGUGGCAAGGGUGGCCCCCAGGAUUAGCACUGUCCUGCCCCUGCUCGGACUUUAAUGCCCUGAAUUCCAGGGGGAAACGGAAGCUCCCCAGGAGGCAGCUCUCCGUUCAUAUGUCUUCCAAUUUCUAGUUUGGAGGAGAAAAUUAGUGGAAAGGCUAAAUGAAAAGCUGCCAGCCCUCAGGACGAACAGCAAUUCAAACGAGCACCCUGAAUCGCUGCCUCACAUCUCCUCCAUGCGCCCAGGCUCCUGCUUUGCCAAUCUUCCCCGGCAACACCUACUUGCAGGGAAUGCUGGCUGCCCAGCCAGACAGGCCGCUGGCUGAUCACACAAACAGCAAGGGCAGACACACCGGAGAAGUGCAGAGCAUAUGAAGGGAAUCCCUGGCUGUCAGAGUUUUGAAGGAGAUGACAGAGUGGGUGCGGAAUGGAAAAGGUUCGGGUCUGGCCUGACAGGUAAGGGCAAAGCCCAGCAUGUCCUGCCACAGGAGAGGGGUGGGUUGCAGAACCACCAUAGCAAAACACAAUGCGUUUCAGUGUUGCAGGAGGGGACAGUCGGAACAGUACUCGACAGACUGGCAAAUGGGAAGUCAGCAGCCUGCCAAAGGGUUUAUUGAGCUCUUUGGGGCUGAGAGUAUCCUAGCAUCAUAGACUAUCAGGGUUGGAAGGGACCUCAGGAGGUCAUCUAGUCCAACCCCCUGCUUAAAGCAGGACCUAAUCCCCAACUAAA